rnacentral:rRNA from 1 species
CAAUAGCGUAUAUUAAAGUUGUUGCAGUUAAAAAGCUCGUAGUUGGAUUUCUGGUAGGAGUGACCGUUCCGAACUUGAUUGUUCGUGUAUUGUGUUUUCUCCAGCCAUCCUUGUGGAGAACUUUUCUUGCAUUAAUUUGUAGGGAUUGGGACCCGCAUCGUUUACUGUGAAAAAAUUAGGGUGUUUAAAGCAGGCAAUCGCUUGAAUACAUUAGCAUGGAAUAAUAAGAUAGGACUUUGGUACUAUUUUGUUGGUUUGCAUACCAAAUUAAUGAUCAACAGGAACAGUUUGAGGAUAUUCGUAUGAACAUGUCAGAGGUGAAAUUCUUGGAUUUUGAUCAGACGAACUACUGCGAAAGCAUUUAUCAAGGAUGUUUUCAUUAA